CCGCGGCCAGCUUCCGCAUUGCCCGCGCAACUCCGAGACUAAGCGGAGUGACGGAAACUACAAUCCGGCACAGAAGAAAGGCCCAAGGAACCAGCCUCCUUGAAGCCCCAACUCUGAGCGCUUUCCGGGCAGCUCUUGACUCGAACUCCACUGCGAUCCCUGAUGGCAGCCAUCAUAGUUACAUCCGGGUAUUUCGUGGAGUCGCCACCAGAGUCUCCCGGAAGUGACGCGAACGCGGAGGGAUUUGCGUUCGGUCCAGGAGGAAGACAUGGUAUUGUUUCCAUUAUGGGAAAAUUGAGGCCAGGAGAGGGCGAGUGAUUUGUCUUAAUGCAUCUCGUCUUGGAGCUGACCUGAUCCCCCAGUUUGUCUGUAGAGCCAGUGCUUUAAAUUUCCUCCGUAAUGCUUCCAUUUAGAAAAACCCCCAAGCCCCUGGUGCUUGCAGCUGGAAGGCCACUUCUGCAAGGGCGUUCACCUUCAGCUCAGCGUUGUUGCCCAUGGUGUAGGGCCAAGCCACAGCCACCGUGGUCUCUGCGGUGGACAGAGAUCCGAACCGUGUGCCACGGUCACCAUCGUUAACCGGGUGUCUUGCAAUUUCUCUUGGUCUCCUGCCCCUUGACUCUGCACAUGGAGGGUUCUUGCUGCCCUCGACCCCCGGUUAACUGAGGGAACUGGCCCUGACCGUGGGCGCUGGGAAACAUUUUAACUCCUGUCAGGCACUUGUAAAGUCAAGAUGCUCAAACGGCUCCAGGCCUGUCAUUAUUGGCAAAUAGCCUCUGGCGGUAAUAAAAGCCUGACAACGAUUAUCUUGGACUUUCCACCAAAUCAGUUGUGUCUCCUGGCUUCUGUUCCUUUAGAAUUAAGAACAAAUACUUCGACCUUAAUGUCACCGUUAACUAUAACCAGCCAUCAAAUAAUGAAGUGUGAAUAUCCACUUUGGUCAUUUUUUUUUCCUUUUUCUUUUUUUCGCAGAGGCCAUCAGGUGGGGAAAUAGCCACACCAGCACCUCCCCAGAACAGAACCUCUCAGAUCCCUAGGUGUCAGAGGUCUUAGGGGCACAGCGUCCUCAGGGGAGGUCAGAGCCCAUGGCUAGAUAUCAUGGGGGCGAGGUAAUAUUUUUGUAAAAACAAAUUAUGCAUAGAAAAAAUACAUCAGAAUUAAGAAUGAUAAUA